CCUACGGGUGGCAGCAGUGAGGAAUAUUGGUCAAUGGCCGGGAGGCUGAACCAGCCAAGUCGCGUGAGGGAUGACUGCCCUAUGGGUUGUAAACCUCUUUUGUCUGGGAAUAAAAUGCUCCACGUGUGGGGUUCUGUAUGUACCCGAUGAAUAAGCAUCGGCUAACUCCGUGCCAGCAGCCGCGGUAAUACGGAGGAUGCGAGCGUUAUCCGGAUUUAUUGGGUUUAAAGGGUGCGGAGGCGGAUUGUUAAGGCAGUCGUGAAAUUUUGCGGCUCAACCCCAACAUGGCCGUGGAAACUGGGAGUCUUGAGUGCAGCAGAGGUGUGCGGAAUGCGUGGUGUAGCGGUGAAAUGCAUAGAUAUCGCGCAGAACUCCGAUUGCGAAGGCAGCGCACCGGACCGCAACUGACGCUGAGGCACGAAAGUGCGGGGAUCAAACAGGAUUAGAUACCCCUGUAGUC
rnacentral:rRNA from 1 species